rnacentral:rRNA from 1 species
AGAGUUUGAUCCUGGCUCAGGACGAACGCUGGCGGCGUGCUUAACACAUGCAAGUCGAACGGUGAUGAUGGGGCUUGCCCUGUCGGAUCAGUGGCGAACGGGUGAGUAACACGUGAGUAACCUGCCCCAGACUCUGGGAUAACUCCGGGAAACCGGAGCUAAUACCGGAUAGGACCCUUGGACGCAUGUUCUGGGGGUGGAAAGAUUUAUUGGUUUGGGAUGGGCUCGCGGCCUAUCAGCUUGUUGGUGAGGUAGUGGCUCACCAAGGCGACGACGGGUAGCCGGCCUGAGAGGGCGACCGGCCACACUGGGACUGAGACACGGCCCAGACUCCUACGGGAGGCAGCAGUGGGGAAUAUUGCACAAUGGGCGCAAGCCUGAUGCAGCGACGCCGCGUGAGGGAUGACGGCCUUCGGGUUGUAAACCUCUUUCAGCAGGGGAGAAGCCUUCGGGUGACGGUACCUGCAGAAGAAGCACCGGCUAACUACGUGCCAGCAGCCGCGGUAAUACGUAGGGUGCGAGCGUUGUCCGGAAUUAUUGGGCGUAAAGAGCUUGUAGGCGGUUUGUCGCGUCUGCUGUGAAAAUCCGGGGCUCAACCCCGGACUUGCAGUGGGUACGGGCAGACUGGAGUGUGGUAGGGGAGACUGGAAUUCCUGGUGUAGCGGUGGAAUGCGCAGAUAUCAGGAGGAACACCGAUGGCGAAGGCAGGUCUCUGGGCCACUACUGACGCUGAGAAGCGAAAGCAUGGGGAGCGAACAGGAUUAGAUACCCUGCUAGUCCAUGCCGUAAACGUUGGGCGCUAGGUGUGGGGCUCAUUCCACGAGUUCCGUGCCGCAGCUAACGCAUUAAGCGCCCCGCCUGGGGAGUACGGCCGCAAGGCUAAAACUCAAAGGAAUUGACGG